AGGUGACACGCGCGCCCCGGGAACUCUUCAAAACUCAGAGCCUCAGAGGUCGUCAGUUUGCGUCAAGACUUGGAUGAGUGUGGAUGUGUGCUGUCCGAGGUCCAGUGCGUGAAAGACCAGGACGUACAGUUGUUUUAUCAUUAUUUGGACGAAUAAAGGACUUUCACGUAUGAUAUAUUAGUUUUGUGAACAACGACAAGGGAGAGGACAAUUUACGAGCCAAGUCCACGUGGAGUUACAGGAGAAAGAAAUUGAGAACACUUGAAGUGGCGACUUUCCCAGCACCACAACAGCUCAGAGGUAAAUAAGACCAGACGGGUUGUGAUGCUCCGCAAGCACAGUGCAAGUGUUUAGGUAAGCAGGUCAAGUCAGAAGGAUCAGCAGAGGUCGCUGUGACGUACGUCGAAAAGGUGUAAAUGAGAAGGAAUCAUUACCAACCAUGUGAGAUGUGUAACUUUAGGUUCCCAUGUUCGUCAGAAUUGCGAAUCACGAUGAUG
rnacentral:lncRNA from 1 species